rnacentral:rRNA from 1 species
AUGAUGAAGUUAUGUUUGCAUUUGUUAGUAACUUUCAUGGAUCAUCUGUGCUUGUGCAGAUUUUAUUUCUAUACCCUACAAGGUGUUCGACGAAAAUCCCAGAAGGCUGACAGGGGAAGAAUGAUCUAUUCUGUACGGUCUCGAAGACUACUGCUUCUUUGGUCUGUUCACCAAGUCAUGCAUACCCACUUAAAAAUGAACAAGGCUAAGCUGCAAGUAUAUCGCCUUACAAUACCCAUGGUGCCAGACGUGUUUUAUUCCACUACUACCAAGAAGAUAAACGCGGCAGCUGAGCCUAUAGUUCCUGCCGAGGAACAUCCCAAGGUUGACAGUGACACUGCAGAUGGAGCUUCUCUAACCGCUAUCAAAGACACCGCUGUUCAUUUUAACCAGCCAAUAUGGAAGAGAAGAAGACGAAGCCAUAAACAAAAAUGA